GACGAACGCUGGCGGCGUGCUUAACACAUGCAAGUCGAACGGAAAGGCCCCCACCUUGGUGGGGGUGCUCGAGUGGCGAACGGGUGAGUAACACGUGGGUGAUCUGCCCUGUACUUCGGGAUAAGCUUGGGAAACUGGGUCUAAUUCCGGAUAGGACCAUGGUUUAGUGUCUCAUGGUGGAAAAAUUAUUGUUUUGGUGCAGGAUGAGCUCGCGGCCUAUCAGCUUGUUGGUGGGGUAAUGGCCUACCAAGGCGUCGACGGGUAGCCGGCCUGAGAGGGUGGACGGCCACAUUGGGACUGAGAUACGGCCCAGACUCCUACGGGAGGCAGCAGUGGGGAAUAUUGCACAAUGGGCGCAAGCCUGAUGCAGCGACGCCGCGUGGGGGAUGACGGCCUUCGGGUUGUAAACUCCUUUCGUUAGGGACGAAGCCACACCUUUUUUGGGUGUGGUGACGGUACCUUUGUUAAGAAGCACCGGCUAACUACGUG
rnacentral:rRNA from 1 species